AAAUUGGUUUCAGAGGAAAUGGGACAUAUUGUCAAGAUUUUGACGAAUGUGAUGUAGGUUCUCACAAUUGCCAUCGUAACGCUUACUGCAAUAAUACUGACGGUUCUUUCAAUUGUUCAUGCAAAAAUGGUUUCAGGGGAAAUGGAACAGGCUGUCAAGAUAUCAACGAAUGUAAUACUGGGACACACAAAUGCCAUCAAAAUGGCUACUGUAACAAUACUGAUGGUUCUUUUAAUUGUUCAUGCAAAAAUGGAUUCAAAGGAAAUGGAACAGACUGUCAAGGUUUGUCGUAAAUAUUUAAUAA